ensembl:lncRNA
GGAUUAUGCUGAAGAAUGUGGGUUAAAUGUCUUACCAGUGACUCGGACAUGGAUUGAAUUCAUUCCUGAUCCUGUGAAGUUUUUUGGAAGAUAUCCUGUAAAUGAGUACACGCAACUGUAGGUCCCAGAGUCCCGUAAUGAAAUAUUCCUCAAAGUGAAGGUGUGCUCAUUUUUAUUUCCAAGUAGUUCUAAUCUCUCUCCAACACCAUUUUUACACAAAUACAUGUGAACAUCUGUAUUUGAGCUCUGGAUGUUAGAGAUGCUGCACGUUAAUGCUACAUUUUCCCCAACUUUUGCUGUGGAGGGUCCAAAAAUUUGUG